rnacentral:rRNA from 1 species
GAUGAACGCUGGCGGCGUGCCUAAUACAUGCAAGUCGAGCGAACGGACGAGAAGCUUGCUUCUCUGACGUUAGCGGCGGACGGGUGAGUAACACGUGGAUAACCUACCUAUAAGACUGGGAUAACUUCGGGAAACCGGAGCUAAUACCGGAUGAUAUUUUGAACCGCAUGGUUCAAUAGUGAAAGACGGUUUUGCUGUCACUUAUAGAUGGAUCCGCGCUGCAUUAGCUAGUUGGUAAGGUAACGGCUUACCAAGGCAACGAUGCAUAGCCGACCUGAGAGGGUGAUCGGCCACACUGGAACUGAGACACGGUCCAGACUCCUACGGGAGGCAGCAGUAGGGAAUCUUCCGCAAUGGGCGAAAGCCUGACGGAGCAACGCCGCGUGAGUGAUGAAGGUCUUCGGAUCGUAAAACUCUGUUAUUAGGGAAGAACAUAUGUGUAAGUAACUAUGCACAUCUUGACGGUACCUAAUCAGAAAGCCACGGCUAACUACGUG